AAAAAAAAAAAAAAAAAAAAAAGAGAAAGGGGAGAUCCUUGACAAUGCUCUCGUUUGUACUAAUAACAAUGUCAAUAAUAAAGAAAAGGAAGUUAAUAGAUCUAAUGAAAAUCAAAUUACUAACACUGGGAAUGACGAUAUUGAUAUUAACAACAGUAGGAAUGAUAACAAAGAAACUAACAGUAGUGUAUUUUUUGAUUAUUUAAAACCAUUUAACUAUAUUUUUAAUGUAUUUGAUGAAAUAAUAAAAGAAAAAAAAAUCGAAAAGGAAAAAAAUUUUUAUUAUACGGAUAGAAUGACAUUAAAUGAAUUAUCCAGAUUUUUAUAUAAAACAUUAAAAAGUGUAAAUAUAGGAGUAGCAAAUGAUGUAGUAUUUGUAUCUCAUUCUAUGGGAGCUAUAUUAACACAAGAUGUUUUGUCAAAAAAUGAUAAUCUUUUAAAUAAAACGAAAUAUUUUUUUUGUUAUGCAGCUCCACACUUUGGAUCUACUUUAGCAAUGACAGCAUUCCCUAUUAAAAAUUUUUUAUCACCAUAUGUUUCUCAGCUUAAUAAUUAUAACACACAGUUGUCAGAUAUACAAUCUAAUUUUAAAGAAAAAAUUAAAAAUAAAAAUAUAAAAGUAUAUUCAUUUGCUGAGACUAAAAAAACACCCUUGCCAAUAAUAGGUGUUUCUACUAUGAUAGUACAUAUGGAUAGUUCCUAUUUACCCUAUUCUAAAGUUUAUGUAUUAAUUAAGAAUUGUAACCAUUUGCAAAUAUGUAAGCUAAACAAUGAAGCGGAUGUAAAAUAUUAUUAUUUAAACAAAGCUAUAAAUCAAGUUUCAAAGAAUAGCUAAUAAUAAUACAAACAAAUUCUAUUUAAAAUAAUUAAAUACGCACGUAUACAGUACACGUAUAUGUAUAUAUGCGCAUUCCUAAAUUUGCUUUUACCUUUAUAUAAAUUUUUAUUAAAAUAUUUACACAUAUAUAUAUAUAUAUGCUUAUAAAUAUAUGCACCAUCUAUUUUUUUUUCUCUUUUUUAUUUUUUUUAAUUACACAUGAGAUAUAUAAGUUUAAUCCAUUUUCACUCUUUUCAAAACACAAUUACUUUUUAAAUAUUCAUAAAGUUUUUUUUUAUUUGUUAUUUUUUUCUAGUGCUAUAUUGAUUUUGUUAAAACAAAAAAAAAAAAACAUCAGGUCAGUGUCUUUUUAUGAUAUAUGAGUAUAUGUGUAUACGUGCAUGUGUAUAUAUAUGUUUUCAAUUCCUAUAUUUUUCUAAUAAAAAAUAUAAAUAUGUAUAUAUAUACA
rnacentral:lncRNA from 1 species